CCUUCGGGUGUGAGUGGCAGACGGGUGAGUAACGCGUGGGAAUUUACCUCAAGCUUUGGGAUAACACAGAGAAAUUUGUGCUAAUACCGGAUGUGCUGAUAUAAAGGGAUUUAUGUCGGGAAAGAUUUAUCGGUUUGAGAUAAGCCCGCGUUGGAUUAGCUAGUUGGUAGGGUAAUGGCCUACCAAGGCGACGAUCCAUAGCUGGUCUGAGAGGAUGAUCAGCCACACUGGGACUGAGACACGGCCCAAACUCCUACGGGAGGCAGCAGUGGGGAAUAUUGGACAAUGGGCGCAAGCCUGAUCCAGCCAUGCCGCGUGAGUGAUGACGGCCUUAGGGUUGUAAAGCUCUUUCACCGGAGAAGAUAAUGACGGUAUCCGGAGAAGAAGCCCCGGCUAACUUCGUGCCAGCAGCCGCGGUAAUACGAAGGGGGCUAGCGUUGUUCGGAUUUACUGGGCGUAAAGCGCGCGUAGGCGGAUAUUUAAGUCAGGGGUGAAAUCCCGGGGCUCAACCCCGGAACUGCCUUUGAUACUGGAUAUCUUGAGUAUGGAAGAGGUGAGUGGAAUUCCGAGUGUAGAGGUGAAAUUCGUAGAUAUUCGGAGGAACACCAGUGGCGAAGGCGGCUCACUGGUCCAUUACUGACGCUGAGGUGCGAAAGCGUGGGGAGCAAACAGGAUUAGAUACCCUGGUAGUCCACGCUGUAAACGAUGAAUGUCAGCUGUUGGCAGGUUUACCUGUCAGUGGCGCAGCUAACGCAUUAAACAUUCCGCCU
rnacentral:rRNA from 2 species